rnacentral:rRNA from 1 species
UUUCGAAUCAUUCACAAUGGGCGAAAGCCUGAUGGUGCGACGCCGCGUGAGGGACGAAGGCCUUCGGGUCGUAAACCUCUGUCACCGGGGAAGAAACGCUGCAUAUUAAUCGUAUGCAGCCUGACUUAACCCGGAGAGGAAGCAGUGGCUAACUCUGUGCCAGCAGCCGCGGUAAUACAGAGACUGCAAGCGUUAUUCGGAUUCACUGGGCGUAAAGGGUGCGCAGGUGGUCGUGUGUGUCAGAUGUGAAAUCCCGGAGCUUAACUCCGGAACUGCGUCUGAAACUGCACGACUAGAGCAUUGGAGAGGGUAGUGGAAUUCACGGUGUAGCAGUGAAAUGCGUAGAUAUCGUGAGGAACACCAGAGGCGAAGGCGACUACCUGGACAAUUGCUGACACUCAGGCACGAAAGCAUGGGGAGCAAAAGGGAUUAGAUACCCCCGUAGUCC